UUUUUUUUAACACUCUAACAAUGUGGCUUCUUUUUUCAAUGUUAAAUUAACAAGUCGGAUUACAAGUUGUUCAAAAAGGAAGGAUGUAAGUACUACCACACUCUUGGAGAGAUAUUCAACGGGACUACAGCUACUGGAGGAUUAGGCAGUGCCUCCACCCAGCUUCCAAACACAUCAGAGGAAGAAAGGUAGCUAGAAGAUGAUUUUUUGAAUAGAGGAGUACAUGUGACUGCGGAAAAUGAUGAUGAAGUCAAUGUGGUUUCAAAUACUCGUCGACGUAACGAAAUUGGUACAUCGGUGAACGGCGACGUAAGGAACCUAAGGUCAGUAAAAGUGAUAAACUCGAGGCUUGUAUGACACAGUGGUCAUCUACAGUUAAUUUGAGGAAUGAAAAAACUGAAAUUAGA
rnacentral:lncRNA from 1 species